GAAUUCGCCCUUAGAGUUUGAUCCUGGCUCAGGACGAACGCUGGCGGCGCGCCUAACACAUGCAAGUCGAACGAGCGAGAGAGAGCUUGCUUUCUCGAGCGAGUGGCGAACGGGUGAGUAACGCGUGAGGAACCUGCCUCAAAGAGGGGGACAACAGUUGGAAACGACUGCUAAUACCGCAUAAGCCCACGGCUCGGCAUCGAGCAGAGGGAAAAGGAGCAAUCCGCUUUGAGAUGGCCUCGCGUCCGAUUAGCUAGUUGGUGAGGUAAUGGCCCACCAAGGCGACGAUCGGUAGCCGGACUGAGAGGUUGAACGGCCACAUUGGGACUGAGACACGGCCCAGACUCCUACGGGAGGCAGCAGUGGGGAAUAUUGCACAAUGGGGGAAACCCUGAUGCAGCGACGCCGCGUGGAGGAAGAAGGUCUUCGGAUUGUAAACUCCUGUUGUUGGGGAAGAUAAUGACGGUACCCAACAAGGGAGUGACGGCUAACUACGUGCCAGCAGCCGCGGUAAAACGUAGGUCACAAGCGUUGUCCGGAAUUACUGGGUGUAAAGGGAGCGCAGGCGGGAAGACAAGUUGGAAGUGAAAUCUAUGGGCUCAACCCAUAAACUGCUUUCAAAACUGUUUUUCCUGAGUAGUGCAGAGGUAGGCGGAAUUCCCGGUGUAGCGGUGGAAUGCGUAGAUAUCGGGAGGAACACCAGUGGCGAAGGCGGCCUACUGGGCACCAACUGACGCUGAGGCUCGAAAGUGUGGGUAGCAAACAGGAUUAGAUACCCUGGUAGUCCACACCGUAAACGAUGAUUACUAGGUGUUGGAGGAUUGACCCCUUCAGUGCCGCAGUCAACACAAUAAGUAAUCCACCUGGGGAGUACGACCGCAAGGUUGAAACUCAAAGGAAUUGACGGGGGCCCGCACAAGCAGUGGAGUAUGUGGUUUAAUUCGACGCAACGCGAAGAACCUUACCAAGUCUUGACAUCCCUUGACGAUGCUGGAAACAGUAUUUCUCUUCGGAGCAAGGAGACAGGUGGUGCAUGGUUGUCGUCAGCUCGUGUCGUGAGAUGUUGGGUUAAGUCCCGCAACGAGCGCAACCCUUAUGGUCAGUUACUACGCAAGAGGACUCUGGCCAGACUGCCGUUGACAAAACGGAGGAAGGUGGGGAUGACGUCAAAUCAUCAUGCCCUUUAUGACUUGGGCUACACACGUACUACAAUGGCGUUAAACAAAGAGAAGCAAGACCGCGAGGUGGAGCAAAACUCAGAAACAACGUCCCAGUUCGGACUGCAGGCUGCAACUCGCCUGCACGAAGUCGGAAUUGCUAGUAAUCGUGGAUCAGCAUGCCACGGUGAAUACGUUCCCGGGCCUUGUACACACCGCCCGUCA
rnacentral:rRNA from 1 species